rnacentral:rRNA from 1 species
UACGUAGGGUGCGAGCGUUAAUCGGAAUUACUGGGCGUAAAGCGUGCGCAGGCGGUUUUGUAAGACAGGUGUGAAAUCCCCGGGCUUAACCUGGGAACUGCGCUUGUGACUGCAAGACUAGAGUGCGGCAGAGGGGGGUGGAAUUCCACGUGUAGCAGUGAAAUGCGUAGAGAUGUGGAGGAACACCGAUGGCGAAGGCAGCCCCCUGGGUCGACACUGACGCUCAUGCACGAAAGCGUGGGUAG